GCUAGAAGAACACUUCUGAACUGCAAUGAUGUGAAAUUAUUCCGAGCAGCAGAUAUGAGCCAAUGCAGUCCUACAAUGUUGCAAAACAAAACUGUGAAAUUCCCUUGCAUUCUAACCACAGAGUGCUGAAUUUGACAGUGUGGUGAAAUACACUUGCAAGAUUGAGAUAUCUUUAUGAGUUAAAUUGAAGUCUGAACCAUUAAUCAAAUGAAUAGAAUGCAUGAAAGAAUACCUACAUGUUGGCAUCAAACCAGUCGGAGAAUAGAUAAACAUUAACAUUCCCUUUAUUUAAUCACUGUACAUGUAACCUUAUGUCAACCCUUGAUAUACUACAAAUUUAAAAUCAUUUUUUUAUUUAACAAACAUCAGCACAUACGACUCACUGAUGCUAGCAUGUACUGUUGACAAAGCAAGAAAAAUGAGAAAUCUCAUCUCUAAAAUCCACCUGAAUUAUUGAGGCAAGGCACCAAAGAAGUAAUACCACACAGCCUGGACUGUGUUUUGUGCUUUCGACUACUUGUUUAAAAGAUAGUGGUGAGUAAACUCAAGCUUUGUUGAGUGGACAGAGUUGCUCCUAUAUGUCAAUACAUAAAUUACUUCAUACAAUUCAUUUUAAUUUCACUCUGAAUUCCCUCCCUUGACCAAUUUAAGGGCAAGUAAUUAAUGUGGCAUAGCUAUUAAAUGACAAACCACCCAAAACAAAGAGUACAGACUUGUGAAGUCAAACUCAAUAACUAAUCAUAUGGAAAUAUUAGAUGUCCAUUCUUAAUUGUCUCUGCUCAAUCCUGUUCCUUCCUCUUCUCCAUUGUUCUUCCCCACGACCCCAUAAACAUCCCUGAACAACAAAAGAGCCAAGUUAUUUUGGCCCAUCUCACAGCUGGGUGGGGGAUUCCAACUCCCCCCCUCAACUCGGCUGUACCUAGCUCAAUUUUUUCUAAACUUGGCAUACAUGUAAAGACACUCCUUGUCAUUACAGCAGUGAAUUUUAAACUGAAUCAGAUGUACAGUUUUGUUGAUACAGUCAUUUGAAAUUCAAGGCUACAUGUAUGCCAGCCUGUGUGCAUUGAGCACCACAAUGGAAGAAGUAUAUAUUUUGACUGACCCGUCUUGGGAAAAUGCAAGCUGCACAAGAAUGGUAUGUCCGAUUUUCACAAAAUUGGUAUCAAAAUGACUGCAAAAGUCUAAAAACUCCUACAGGCUCAACUCCUGAAAAAAAUCCAUUGCGGUGAUAUCAGGAAAAUGUUGAGGGGGUGGAUUCUGCCCCCUGGCUCUUUUUGGGUUAACACCUGCGUUAAAAGACAUGUUAUUGGUAUUUCGUUUCAUCCCAAGUGUGGCAAUCCCACAAAAUCAGAAUAAAGUAACUCUAACAUUCCGUCAAUGAACCUGCUAUAAAGCAUAUUUCAUUUUCUUGUAACACCAAUAUACCAAAGUUUUACUUUUAUUUUGAGCUGACAAUCUGCUCAUGUUAACUUGCAGUACAGCAUGUCCAGUUUUGGUUUGUUUUCAAUACCACGCUGAACAUGAAAUGCAAUGGAAUAAAAGUUUGUAAACACACUCAUAACCUACAACAUGAACAUUCCAAAACAUUGGGCAAUCAAGCAAAAUAAAAAGUUUGGCACAAUGUCCAUUUCAAAAAGGGUGUCUCAAUGAUAACCUCACGAUAGUGAUUGCACAACGAACUUUCCAAAUCACAGGAACUCAUUCCAAUUUGUGGCUCCACUAAGCAUGAAAAUCUGCGCUUGAUAAGCAAAUAUUUUCAUGCCUAUGGCCACCAUUCCGAGGUUAGCACACAAAAUCUCUGCAAACAGUUUCAAAGGAAGCAGAUUAUAAGAUAUCUGCACAGGCCUCCCCUUUUGUAGGUUAGAAAUACAACAAGAACAAAAUUGCAUAGUAAUACAAUUGAACCUGUUUUGCCAAUUUACGCUCAAUUCAAGUCAAGAAAACAUUAAUUCCAUGCUCCUU